UGGUUUGUUAGGGCGUGUCCUAACUGAAAUGCGUCUUGUUAAAAUAUCAAAUACAGAGCGUCUUGAAUUAGAUAAUGCACAUAAAAAUUUGAAUGAAAUAUAU
rnacentral:sRNA from 1 species